rnacentral:lncRNA from 1 species
GAACAAUGAAGCGUGAGCUGGAGGGGAGCGAGCGGGCCGCCGGGAGCGCACUGUGUACAAACAGAGGCGGCGUGCGUAGAGGGAGGUAGGGAGAGAGACAAACACAGAGCUAGAGAAAUUGAAAGAGAAACAUUCUCGAAGGCAAAGAGUUGAAAGGUGAAUCUACUAAGAAAAGAAUAACAGAGUGCAAUUAGCCAUGGAACUACAUCUCCAUCUGCCUCCUUUAAAGGAUGAGUCCUUUAAAGAGCCUUUGGAAGGAAUUGGGCCAUGAGAAGAGCCCUCAUGAAUGGGAUUAGUUCCCUUAUAAGAAGAGACACCAAGGAAGUGAUCUUUCUCUGCCCUCUGCUAUGUGAAGACAAGGUAAGAAGACAGCUAUGAACCAAGAAGCAGGCCCUUACCAGACACCAAAUCUGCUGGUGCAUUGAUCUUGGACUUCUCAGCCUCCAGGACUGUGAGAAAUAAAUGUUUAUUGUUGAAGCCACCCAGUCUACAGUAAUUUGUUAUAGCAGCUGAAAUUGACUAAGACAAUUUAAAAAAAUUAAUCUCAUUGACUAUCAAUUUGGAUUCUGGAGCAUACCUGGAUUCAGGUAUACAUUGGAUUUGGGCAUAUCUGAACUGGAAUAUGGUCUCUAUCAUUCUAACUCCUUUAACUAAGUUAAAGUCUGUUAAGUGCCAAACCUCAGUAUUCUCAUCUGUAAAAUGAAGGUAGUGAUAGUAUCAAACUGAUAGUGGUAGGUUGUGGUGGUGCACAAAAGGGCCUAGUCCAGCACUGGACACAUGGUGAUGAUGAUGAAAGAUAAUGAUACUGAUAAAUAAGAAGACAAUACUAAUAUACAUAAUUCCAAAAGAAUUUUUCUUAAUACGUGAUCCUCUUCACUCCCCGUCUCCCAUCCCCAUUAAAUUACCUGGAAUUUUUUAGUCCAUCUUUCAGUUUGUCAAGCAACGAAUAACACUAAAGGUAGUCUUUUUUAUUAUCGUGUAAUUAUGGAAUUUUUUAUUAUUUUGCAUUUUAAAACUUUGUUUUGAAUUUCCAAAACUUUUUAUUUAAUAUCUAAAAUGUCUUUCUACUAAAAUUUUGCUCUCACCGUCUGAGACUCAAAGCAGAAAACCCAGCCAAGACCAUCUCAAAUUCUGACCUACAGAACUGGGAGUUAAUAAUUGGUGUUGUUUUAAACUGCUGAGUCUGUGGUAGUUUGCUAUGAAGACUAAUAUAGUUGGUUACUAUUGUUAUUCUAAUUUCAGGGAGAAGGAAUAAGUCAUGGAGCGGUUAGGUUAAUUGUCCAUCCUCUCAAGUUAGUAAGUGUUGGAGCCGAUAAGUGAAUCUAAACAGCGUGAAUCUAAAGCCCACUGCAUACUUCUGCCAACAAUUAUGAAGGGUCGACUGUAUGCUAAGCUCUAAUGCAUUUUUACAUAUAUUGCUUUACUAAAUAGGUUACCUCAACAACCUUUAUGAGGUAAAUAUUAUUAUUAUUUGCAUUUGACUACUGAGGAAACCAAGAAUCAAAACCUUUAAGUACAUUGCCCAGGAUCAAGGUGGCGGUGAGGAAUGGAGCCAAGAGCUAGUAUCAGAGCCCUGCUCUGGUUCCAGUAGUGAUUUUCACAGCCAUUGUGUUAAAAUGCCUAUUUAGACAGUGGUCUAACUUACUUUAUUUAUUGACAUUUUCAAUUUCAAUGGUUAUAAUUAUAAUUGUCAUUUUUUAGUACAGUUUGCAUUUCUCCCUGAUCUUCUUGAUGCAUCAUUUUAGAAUAUACAUUGCUGAAAUGUAGAAUUUCAAGCACAUUUUAAAUUCUCUACAAUAUUUGCAUAACUCAUAACACUUUUCUUCAUUGCUCCCACAAGCACCAAGAUAAUUCUUUCCUCCAACCCUCUGCUCAUGCUGUUAUCCCCACCUGAAAUGCCCUCUUACAAAUCCUACUAGCUGAAUUACAGUUUCCAUUUAAGACCUCCCCGAAUUAUUCUAGCACCAGAGAACCAUCAUUUCUUAGAAUUAACAGUGCUUUUAAUUUUUUUUCUAGUUGUUUCACUUGUGUUAAUCUUAUCUUUCCAAAGAAUUAUAUGGUUCUUACCAUUUAGAUAACUGCAUGUCUUAGACAUAGCUGAGUGUUAUGUUUUAAAUUUCUUCAGUCUUUCCACUGUGAACACUAAGGAAAAUUAAUUUUUAAGACUACAGAUUUGAUACCAAAUCCCUACUUCCUAAUAUUUCACUGCCUGAUUCCCUAAUGGAUGCUCUUUCCAGAAAAUGUGUAGGGUCAUUAAGCAAGAGUGUACCUUUGCUUUCAGAAUUUGACCCUGGUAGGAGAAAUUUCUGGUGCUUCUAAUUCUUUCCCUCCAGUUUCCCAGUCAAACUCAUUUCAGUGACUUGGUUUUUAGCUUCCUGAAAUAUGUUUGAAUAAUUAAUAUAUACACACAAUAAAAGUUCAAAGGUACAAAAGAGUGUGCAGGAAAAUAAAAGUUUUCCUCCUAAUGACAUUCCCUUCUUACACAAGGUUAUUCCCUCAGGGCCUACUGCUGAUAUCUAGUAGCUAUGCUUGUGUAUCCUUCUAAAGAUACACAAACACACCCCCCUAUAUAUGUGUGUUUAUAUGUACUUGUGCAUACAUGUGUGUAUAUAUAGUGUGUAUAUGUGUACACACAUACUUUUUACAAAAGUUACUAAAUUAUACAAUCAUGGAUCUUGCUUUUCUUCACAAACGUUCUGUGUUUUGAAAUUGUAUCAAGGACUGCAUAGUAUCUGUAUAUGUAAAUCCUUUUUGAUAGACAUUUAAGUUGCUUCCAAUCUUUUGCUAUUGCAAGCAAUAUUACAUGAAUACACAUUUUGCACAUGUGUGCAAGAUAAACAUAUUAGAAUAGAUUUGUUGAAGUAACAUUGUUGGUGGGGGGAAUGUUCAUAUAAAAUUGUGAUAGAUAUUACCAAUUUGCCAUUCAUAAGGUAUCUAUGAGUUCACCCUUCCACCUGUACUGUAUCAGACAGCUUGUCUCUCUUUAGUGUGGCUGAUAUGAUUCUUAACAGUCUUUGAAAGACAAAAAAAGGUAUCUCAUGGUUUUGAACACCUAUUAUUUUUACUGGGUUUGAGCAACUUUUCGCAUAUUUAAAAAUAAUUAUUUUCUUUAUGUGAACUGGCAUUUCAUGUAUUUUGCUUUUAUUUCUACUGAUUUGCUAACCUUUUUAUUGAUUGGUAGGAGAUCUGUAUAAGGAAAUUCAUCCAUUUGGGGUCACAUUAAUGUCAAAAAAUUUAUCCAGCUGGUUCUUGUCCUUUAACCUAGUUUACACCUAUUUGUUUGAUUUUAUUGUGCUAAAAUUGCUAAAAUAUUUUAUAUUUGGGUGAUGAAAUUUAUCCACCUUUGCUUUAAGAUUUCUAGGUUUUGAUAUUUGCUAAGAUAGGCUUUCAGUAUUCUGAAUUUAUAAACAUAUCUUACAGUGUCUUAUAGUAGUUUUAUGAAUAUUUCAUGUGUGUUUUUACAAUUCUUACCAAAUUAAAAUUUGAGAGAUAGUAUUUGUUACUAUCUUACUUGUUCUCUCAAAAACUACCAGUAAUAACAAAACCAUAUAUUGAAUAAAUCCAUAUAUUUCAAAUUAAUAUGACAUGCCAACUCACUCACUUAGUCACUAUAUAUUUGGCUCUACUGCUUGCUUUUAUAGACUGUUCCAUUGGGUUAUCUAUUCGUGUGCCAGUACUACAUGCCUAAUUGUUGUUUUAAUUUUUUUUUAAUAACUACUAGGGUAAACAUCAUCUACUUCUUUUUUAAAAAAUACUCCCUGACUAAUGUACAUUUAUUUUUUUUCCUACAUGAACUUUAGAGUGAGCUUGUCUAGUUGAAAAAAACAUAAUAAAUAUAUUUAUAGUAUUAGUAUACCUAUGUAUAUAUCCAAUUUUCUUCUGUGUUUCUCUUGUUAAGUUUCUAUUUAGAUAUUUUAUAUUUUUAUAUGCCUACCUAAAUGCAAAUUUCUUCAUUAUAUUUUGUAACUGGCUCUUCUACAUUUAUAGGAAGGCUAUCUUUGUGUGUGUGUGUGUGUGUGUGUGUGUGUGUAUGUGUGUCUAUAUAUGUGCACUAAUGUUAAACCCAGUUACUUUAUAAAUUGUAAAUUGUCUUUUAUAAUUUACAUUAUUAGCUUUUUCGUUUAUUAUUUUGGGUUUUCUAGACAUAAAAUCAUCACAUCUGAAAAGAACUUUAGUUUUACCUCCUUACCUCCUCUUCGAAUUUUCAUGCUUAUUUUUUCCAUCAAAUUGUUAUAACUGGUAUUAUGUAAUAGAUUUUAAAUAAAUGGACACACUUGGACUAUUUUUCACUCUAAUGGGACCACUCUAAUGACCUCCAAGGCACAGCACAAGGACUCUUGUCUCCCAUUUCCAGUGCAUGCACUACAGCCAUUUUCUCUAUACCAGCAUUUGCUCAGAAAAAAAAAAAAAGAGUAAGACAUUAACAUCAGUGUAGGAAGGAAAUAAGUGUCCAUGAAUAUGCAGGAUAGGAUAAAGGAGGGAAAUUAUCUUUUCUCUACAGUAAAUAAAAAGAGGCUUAUCAAGAAUUGGUAGAAUUGGAUGUCUUAAGCUUUGACGUUGCAUUUGACAGAAAAUUGGAACUCAUUGUCUUUUGAUUUAAAAGAAAGGGAUGAUAAAAUCUUCCACACCCACCAUAGCAGGAGUUAUGUGGUUAUCUAGGGAAAAACGUAUUAUAAUAGGCCAAAGGACCGUCUUAGACUAUUUCCCCUUUUAUCUAGUUUUCAUUGCCAUAUUCUUCUCUUUUCCUCCGUUUAUCACAUUGCUGAAAAUUGAGUCAGAGAUUUAUUUAUUUAAGAUAUAAAAGAUACCUGAUACAUCAAGCAUAGUAAUUGGACCAAAUAUGAAACUAAAGGAAAUCUAAAGAAAUAAUGUGUACACCAUCUAUAAAUAAAUGUCAAGGGUUAUGAAUAGAGAAGAUCCUCUUGGGUUUUCUUUGUUCCAACAUGGGCUACAACUUAAAGAGAAAAAUCUGUCAAUAAAAAAUUAUUUGUUUUCACAAUCACUGUUUUAUUUAAAAAAUAAAACGGAAAUGGAAUAUAUUUUAAUAUAUGUUAUUUUGGGCAACCGCAAUUUAAAAUAUAGCUUGUUUCUCAGCCAUUGGAGAAUAUCAUUUAAUUUUAUGUGUUUUAUAUUGAUACAGAUUCUGUUCUUUCUGUCUGUAGAUAAAAUGGGUCUAGUAGUACAUUCUCCCUAAAAUAUACAGUAAUUAAUAUAUUUCCUUAAAAUAAGAUAAAAUACCCAUGCAUGUCUCAUAGCACAAUUGUAAUUUGUCUUAAAUUUAUCACUAUAUUAAUAUAAUAUAAAAUAAUUUAUUAGAGAUUUUAAAUAUAUACAUUUCUUCAAAAACCAUAAUGCUAAUAUUAAAAUUGGAAAAAUUAAGAAAAUAUCAUGAUUUCAAUACGAAGCUAAGGUCCCAGAAACAUUAAAUAAAUUAAGAAAGGCAUGAUGUCAUUAUGUUUUCAAAACAUUGUAUAGAAAGAAUCACCUGGUUUGAAUUCUUAUUUUUGUUUUGGUCCGUCUCAAAAACCUACAUUUAUACAUGAUGAUGAUAUUAUUAAAAAAGAAAAUUAUAACAACUUAAUCUUUUGCUUUUGAGAUGAUUCAUACAAAAGUAAGAAUUCAAACCAGGUAUAACCUUUUGAAAACACAAGGACAUCUUUCCUUUCUUGAUUUACUUAAUGAUCCUGGGACUUUAAUUCUAGUAAACUUCUAGUUUCAAAAACAAAAUUAUAAAGCAUAUGUAAAACAGACAAUGAUGCAAAAUUGCACAAUUGCCUGUCUUAAUUUUUAAAAUUCAGAGAUUUUAGUUUGAUUCACAUAAUCAUUUUUUUCUCAAGAACAUUUAUAUGGAUGCAACUUGAUUUGAAAAGCAAUUUGUGACCUGAGAUAUUUAAAACUGUACAUUUUGAUGUGACAAGUUGUAAACUGUAUAGUAAAAGCCAAUUGAAUUGAGAGCCUUCACUCAGUCAUCAACAAAUAAAAUUGAAAAAAAUUCUUUAACUGAAUUAUUAUUUAAUCUUUUAUUAUGAGGCAUGCAUUCUUGAAUGUUUUCCAAAACAUAAUCAGACAUAAAAUUGAAACUACAUACUACAAGUCAAUUUAAAAGCAUGAUAUUUAAUUGAUAAAUCUGGCCAAUCCCUUUAACAUUCAUAGUGGAGAUGAAUAAAUUAAAAAGGCGUCAAAAUGGAAGAUAGAUGACCCUGCUAAAAAAAUUUUUAAUUGCAUUCGUCUACUUUUAAAAAUAAAUCCCACAUUGAAUUUAAUAUAUGAACUAUUUUCUAGUCCUUUUUUUUUUUUUUUUGUAGAGAUGGGGUCUCAAACUCGGCCUCAAGCAUUCCACCUGCCUCAGCCUCCCAAAAGUGCUGGGAUUGUAGGCCUGAGCUACCACACCUGGCCUCUAGUCUUUCUAUUUAUAAGUAGGAGAUAUAAUAGCAUUUAGGGUAAGUGGUGGAAACUUUUGCAGUUUUUCCUGUAACUAUCUGACUCAGCAUCAGCUGAAAAUAUCCUUGUAUUAUUUUAACAUUUUCCUUUCCUCUACUAAAUAAUGUGUCACUCUGGCUAUGCCCUGAGGUGGUGACUCAGUUCUGUCUAAGACGCUGCCUAGGGAUCUUAAGCAAUGAUUGAAAAUACAGGAAGUUUUCCCCUUAGAAAAGCCCUGGUUGGCUGGGCGCAGUGGCUCACACCUGUUAUCACAGCACUUUGGGAGGCCGAGGCCGGCAGAUCACGAGGUCAUGAGAUCGACACCAUCCUAACACAGUGAAACCCUGUCUCUACUAAAACUACAAAAAAUUAGCCAGGCACCGUGGCAGACACCUGUAAUCUCAGCUACUCAGGAGGCUGAGGCAGGAGAAUUGCUUGAACCUGGAAGGUGGAGGUUGCAGUGAGCUGAGAUCGCACCAUAGCCCUCCAGACUGGGUGACAAAGUGAGUCUCCAUUGUGAAAUAAAAAAUAAAAAGAAAAAGAAAAGCCAUGGUUUUGAUAACUAAAUGCAGAGACUAUUGAUCCACAACUUUUAGCCAGUUUACUUUAAUUAAAAGGAGCUUCUAGGCCUUUUACCUUUUAUAUUUUUUAGCCACAGCAAAAUGUUUUAUUGUUUUAUCUGUUUUACAUUCUACUGAACUUAGUUUUAAUUAUUAUAUUUCUUUUAGCUCUUUAAUACUUAAUUUCAGUUUUUUCAAAUGUAGAAGAAUACUCUUAUGAAUUCUCUGAAUAACUUGCAUUUUUAAUAAGGAAGACAGACAGCCCUUUGCUUCUAAUUAGUUCUGUAAAAUCCUUUUAAUGCUUUGAAACAGAUAUCCUUUUUUGGGUCUCAAAUGGCACCUUUGUCCUAAAACACAGUCUUAUGGAGGAAAUGGAUGGCAUAGACCCUAAAUCACUGUUCCUGGCAGUCACUGAGACUUUUGGCUAAGGAUUUCUUCCCACAGGAGCAAUAAGCACCAACUCGCAGACAGCUUAGGGUAAAGACUAGAGUAUUGUUGCUUUCUAAUUUCUAAGCCCGUUCAGUUCUUGGUAAAUGAGUUCAUAAAUUUAAGGUAAUUUUCUGACAGUGGCUAAGCCUUCCAUUUAGCCUAUAGCAUGGGGUAAAAAUAAAAUCAGAAGCCAUCAUAAUUCCUUUGUAUAUAUGUAUGUAAAAAUAACCACUCCAUAAAAUGUUUUGUAAGCUACAAAUAUUCUAAUGUAAUUUCUAUUUUAUUUUGAAUUUUUUAUUAUUAGUUAUUUUUCUUAUAUUUUUUCUUUCUUCAAGACAUAUCAAAUUAAUUUUCCCUGGCCAAAUAUUUAAUAAAUCUACUGACUUAAAAUGUCACCUUUUUCAAAUAUUACUUUUCAUACAAACAUGAUCCCUUGCAUACAGUUCCAUUUUCUCUUUUGUGUUUUCUGGUACCAAGACCUCAUAGUUUGACUUUUAUGAAUUUCUAGUAUAUAUUGUACUUGAUAAACUUAGAUGCCUUUUUUUUUCAUUAAAAUAUAUCCCAUUGAAACUUGGGUUUGCUUCAAUUAUGCAGGUCAAUUUGAAAAUAGCUUCUAUCUUUAUAGAACUAUUUUAUUUGUUCUUAAAUAUGCGUCUCUGCCUAUUAGCUUCUUGAAUGUCCUUUAAUGAAAUUUUGCAGAUGUCUCUUUCUUACUCUGUCUCUCUGUCUUAAAUGCUUUUCAUUAUGUUUGUUCAAAAUAUUAUGUUCUUUUGUUUCUGUUAUGAAUUAUAUCAUUUUUUGCCAUUAUGUUUCUAAGUGACUCUUUGUUGUAUUAAAGAAUUUGUCACUUGU